UACAGAGGGGGCAAGCGUUGUUCGGAAUUACUGGGCGUAAAGGGCGCGUAGGCGGCCCGCUAAGUCGAACGUGAAAUCCCUCGGCUUAACCUGGGAACUGCGUCCGAUACUGGUUGGCUUGAGUUUGGGAGAGGGAUGCGGAAUUCCAGGUGUAGCGGUGAAAUGCGUAGAUAUCUGGAGGAACACCGGUGGCGAAGGCGGCAUCCUGGACCAAUACUGACGCUGAGGAGCGAAAGCCAGGGGAGCAAACGGG
rnacentral:rRNA from 1 species